ACAGCAGCCGCCACGGGAAUACGUAGGGUGCAAGCGUUAAUCGGAAUUACUGGGCGUAAAGCGUGCGCAGGCGGUUAUAUAAGACAGAUGUGAAAUCCCCGGGCUCAACCUGGGAACUGCAUUUGUGACUGUAUAGCUAGAGUACGGCAGAGGGGGAUGGAAUUCCGCGUGUAGCAGUGAAAUGCGUAGAUAUGCGGAGGAACACCGAUGGCGAAGGCAAUCCCCUGGGCCUGUACUGACGCUCAUGCACGAAAGCGUGGGGAGCAAACAGGAUUAGAUACCCGCGUAGUCCCUGUCUCUUAUAC
rnacentral:rRNA from 1 species